rnacentral:scRNA from 1 species
GUCCGCGUCAUCUCCACCCACGACGGCGUGGC